AUUGAACGCUGGCGGCAGGCCUAACACAUGCAAGUCGAGCGGAUGAAGGGAGCUUGCUCCUGGAUUCAGCGGCGGACGGGUGAGUAAUGCCUAGGAAUCUGCCUGGUAGUGGGGGAUAACGUCCGGAAACGGGCGCUAAUACCGCAUACGUCCUGAGGGAGAAAGUGGGUGAUCUUCGGACCUCACGCUAUCAGAUGAGCCUAGGUCGGAUUAGCUAGUUGGUGGGGUAAAGGCCUACCAAGGCGACGAUCCGUAAGUGGUCUGAGAGGAUGAUCAGUCACACUGGAGCUUAGACACGGUCACGGCUCCUACGAGAGGCAGCAGUGGGGAAUAUUGGACAAUGGGCGAAAGCCUGAUCCAACCAUGCCGAGUGUGUGAAGAAGGUCUUCGGAUUGUAAAGCAGUUUAAGUUGGGAGGAAGGGCAGUAAGUUAAUACGUUGCUGUUUUGACGUUAACAACAGAAUAAGCACCGGCUAACUUCGUG
rnacentral:rRNA from 1 species